UACACUCCUGCGGGAGGCAGCAGUGGGGAAUAUUGGACAAUGGGCGCAAGCCUGAUCCAGCCAUGCCGCGUGAGUGAUGAAGGCCCUAGGGUUGUAAAGCUCUUUCACCGGUGAAGAUAAUGACGGUAACCGGAGAAGAAGCCCCGGCUAACUUCGUGCCAGCAGCCGCGGUAAUACGAAGGGGGCUAGCGUUGUUCGGAUUUACUGGGCGUAAAGCGCACGUAGGCGGACUAUUAAGUCAGGGGUGAAAUCCCGGGGCUCAACCCCGGAACUGCCUUUGAUACUGGUAGUCUUGAGUUCGAGAGAGGUGAGUGGAAUUCCGAGUGUAGAGGUGAAAUUCGUAGAUAUUCGGAGGAACACCAGUGGCGAAGGCGGCUCACUGGCUCGAUACUGACGCUGAGGUGCGAAAGCGUGGGGAGCAAACAGGAUUAGAUACCCCGGUAGUCCCA
rnacentral:rRNA from 1 species